GUACACACCGCCCGUCACUUCUACCGAUUCGAGUGGUUCGACAUGACUAGGAUUGACGACUUUGUUGUUAAGAAUUUUUGUAAGUCAUAUCACUUAGAGGAAGGAAAAGGCGUAACAAGGUUUCCGUAGGUGAACCUGCAGAAGGAUCA
rnacentral:rRNA from 1 species